AAUCAACGCUGGCGGCGUGCCUAACACAUGCAAGUCGAACGCGAGAGGGGCUUCGGCCCUGAUUGAGUGGCAAACGGGUGAGUAACGCGUGGGUGACCUACCUUCGAGUGGGGGAUAACGUUCCGAAAGGGACGCUAAUACCGCAUAACAUCCUGUCUUUGGACAGAUGGAGAUCAAAGCCGGGGAUCGUAAGACCUGGCGCUUGAGGAGGGCCCGCGUCCGAUUAGCUAGUUGGUGGGAAUGGCUCACCAAGGCAACGAUCGGUAGCCGGCCUGAGAGGGCGGACGGCCACACUGGGACUGAGACACGGCCCAGACUCCUACGGGAGGCAGCAGUGGGGAAUUGUUCGCAAUGGGCGCAAGCCUGACGACGCAACGCCGCGUGAAGGAUGAAGGUCUUCGGAUUAGUAAACUUCUGUU
rnacentral:rRNA from 1 species